rnacentral:rRNA from 1 species
UACGGAGGGUGCUAGCGUUGUUCGGAAUUACUGGGCGUAAAGCGCACGUAGGCGGCUUUGUAAGUUAGAGGUGAAAGCCCAGGGCUUAACCCUGGAAUUGCCUUUAAGACUGCAUCGCUAGAAUCGUGGAGAGGUGAGUGGAAUUCCGAGUGUAGAGGUGAAAUUCGUAGAUAUUCGGAAGAACACCAGUGGCGAAGGCGACUCACUGGACACGUAUUGACGCUGAGGUGCGAAAGCGUGGGGAGCAAACAGG